rnacentral:rRNA from 1 species
UACGUAGGGUGCAAGCGUUGUCCGGAAUUAUUGGGCGUAAAGCGCACGUAGGCGGCUUGGCAAGUCGGAUGUGAAAUCCCUCGGCUCAACCAAGGAAGUGCAUCCGAAACUGCUGAGCUUGAGUACGAAAGAGGAUCGCGGAAUUCCCGGUGUAGAGGUGAAAUUCGUAGAUAUCGGGAGGAACACCAGUGGCGAAGGCGGCGAUCUGGGUCGAUACUGACGCUGAGGUGCGAAAGCGUGGGGAGCAAACAGG